GCCGCGGGCAAAUCCGCGCCCAAAAAUAACCGCCCGAAGGCCGGGGCGCCAAGUUCGUCCUGCGGAAAACGGCCACAAAAACGGGUGGGCUAUAGCCUUGGGGGGUGGGGCUGGCCCACUUCGUCCGCCGGACUCGGAAUGCCGCGAGACUUUGUGAGGGGCCUCCGUCCGCCAAAAAUAGGCCGCGGGCAAAGCCACGCCCAAAAAUAACAGCCCGAAGGCCGGGGCGCCAAGUUCGUCCAGUGGAAAAAGGCCACAAAAACGGGUGGGCUAUAGCCUUGGGGGGUGAUGCUGGCCCACUUCGUCCGCCGGACUCGGAAUGCCGCGAGACUUUGCAAGGGGCCUCCGUGUGCCAAAAAUAGGCCGCGGGCAAAGCCACGCCCAAAAAUAACCGCCCGAAGGCCGGGGCGCCAAGUUCGUCCAGUGGAAAAAGGCCACAAAAACGGGUGUGCUAUAGCCUUGGGGGGUGGGGCUAGCCAACUUCGUCCGCGGGACUCGGAAUGCCGCGAGACUUUGCGAGGGGCCUCCGUGUACCAAAAAUAGGCCGCGGGCAAAGCCGCGCCCAAAAAUAACCGCCCGAAGGCCGGGGCGCCAUGUUCGUCCAGCGGAAAAAGGCCACAAAAACGGGUGGGCUAUAGCCUUGGGGGGUGAUGCUGGCCCGCUUCGUCCGCCGGACUCGGAAUACCGCGAGACUUUGCCAGGGGCCUCCGUGUGCCAAAAAUAGGCCGUGGGCUAUGCCGCACCCAAAAAUAACCGCCCGACGGACGGGGCGCCAAGUUCGUCCGGAGGAAAAAAGCCACAAAAACGGGUGGGCUNNNNNNNNNNNNNNNNNNNNNNNNNNNNNNNNNNNNNNNNNNNNNNNNNNNNNNNNNNNNNNNNNNNNNNNNNNNNNNNNNNNNNNNNNNNNNNNNNNNNUUCGCCCGCCGGACUCGGAAUGCCGCGAGACUUUUUGAGGGGACUCCGUGUGCCAAAAAUAGGCCGCGGGCAAAUCCGCGCCCAAAAAUAACCGCCCGAAGGCCGGGGCGCCAAGUUCGUCCUGCGGAAAACGGCCACAAAAACGGGUGGGCUAUAGCCUUGGGGGGUGGGGCUGGCCAACUUCGUCCGCCGGACUCGGAAUGCCGCGAGACUUUGCAAGGGGCCUCCGUGUCCCAAAAAUAGGCCGCGGGCAAAGCCGCGCCCAAAAUUAACUGCCCGAAGACCGGGGCGCCAAGUUCGUCCAGCGGAAAAAGGCCACAAAAACGGGUGGGCUAUAGCCUUGGGGGGUGGGGCUGGCCAACUUCGUCCGCCGGACUCGGAAUGCCGCGAGACUUUGUGAGGGGCCUCCGUGAGCCAAAAAUAGGCAGCGGGCAAAGCCACGCCUAAAAAUAANNNNNNNNNNNNNNNNNNNNNNNNNNNNNNNNNNNNNNNNNNNNNNNNNNNNNNNNNNNNNNNNNNNNNNNNNNNNNNNNNNNNNNNNNNNNNNNNNNNNCCAAGUUCGUCCAGCGGAAAAAGGCCACAAAAACGGGUGGGCUAUAGCCUUGCGGGGUGGGCCUGGCCCACUUCGUCCGCCGGACUCGGAAUGCCACGAGACUUUGCGAGGGCCCGGCGUGUGCCAAAAAUGAGGCCGCGGGCAAAGCCGCGCCCAAAAAUAACCGCCCGAAGGCCGGGGCGCCACGUUUGUCCAGCGGAAAAAGGCCACAAAAACGGGUGGGCUAUAGCCCUGGGGGGUGAUGCUGGCCCACUUCGUCCGCCGGACUCGGAAUGCCGCGAGACUUUGCAAGGGGCCUCCGUGUGCCAAAAAUAGGCCACGGACAAUGCCGCGCCCAAAAAUAACCGCCCGACGGACGGGGCGCCAAGUUCGUCCAGCGGAAAAAAGCCACAAAAACGGGUGGGCUAUAGCCUUGGGGGGUGAUGCUGGCCAACUUCGUCCGCCGGACUCGGAAUGCCGCGAGACUUUUCGAGGGGACUCCGUGUGCCAAAAAUAGGCCGCGGGCAAAUCUGAACCCAAAACUAACCGCCCGAAGGCCGGGACGCCAAGUUCGUCCUGCGGAAAAAGGCCACAAAAACGGGUGGGCUAUAGCCUUGGGGGGGCUGGCCAACUUCCUCCGCCCGACUUGCAAUGACUCGAGAAUUUGUGAGGGGCCUCCGUCCGCCAAAAAUAGGCCGCGGGCAAAGCUACGCCCAAAAAUAACAGCCCGAAGGCUGGGGCGCCAUGUUCGUCCAGCGGAAAAAGGCCACAAAAACGGGUGGGCUAUAGCCUUGGUGGGUGGGCCUGGCCAACUUCGUCCGCCGGACUCGGAAUGCCGCGAGACUUUGCGAGGGGCCGGCGUGUGCCAAAAAUAGGCCGCGGGCAAAGCCGCGCCCAAAACUAACCGCCGGAAGGCCGGGGCGCCAAGUUCGCCCAGCGGAAAAAGGCCACAAAAACGGGUGGGCUAUAGCCUUGGGGGGUGGGGCUGGCCAACUUCGUCCAUCGGACUUGGAAUGCCGCGAGACUUUGCAAGGGGCCUCCGUGGGCCAAAAAUAGGCCGUCGGCAAAUCCGCGCCCAAAAAUAACCGCCCGAAGGCCGAGGCGCCAAGUUCGUCCUGCGGAAAAAGGCCACAAAAACGGGUGGGCUAUAGCCUUGGGGGGUGGGGCUUCCCCACUUCGUCCGCCGGACUCGGAAUGCCACGAGACUUUGCGAGGGCCUCCAUGUGCCAAAAAUAGGCCGUGGGCAAAGCCGCACCCAAAAAUAACCGCCCGAAGGCCGGGGCGCCAACUUCGUCCAGCGGAAAAAGGCCAGAAAAACGGGUGGUCUAUAGCCUUGGGAGGUGGGGCUGGCCAACUUCGUCCGCCGGACUCGGAAUGCCCCGAGACUUUGCGAGGAGCCUCCGUGUGCCAAAAAUAGGCUGCGGGCAAAGCCGCGCCCAAAAAUAACCCCCCGAAGGCCGGGGCGCCAAGUUCGUCCAGCGGAAAAAGGCCACAAAAACGGGUGGGCUAUAGCCUUGGGGGGUGGGGCUGGCCAACUUCGUCCGCCGGAGUCGGAAUGCCGCGAGACUUUACGAGGGGCCUCCGUGUGCCAAAAAUAGGCCGCGGGCAAAGCCGCGCUGAAAAAUAAUCGCCUGACGGCCGGGGCGCCAACUUCGUCCAGCGGAAAAAGGCCACAAAAACGGGUGGGCUAUAGCCUUGGGGGGUGGGGCAGGCCAACUUCGUCCGCCGGACUAUGAAUGCCGCGAGCCUUUGCGAGGGGCUGUCGUGUGCCAAAAAUAGGCCGCCGGCAAAGCCGCGCCCAAAAAUAACCGCCCGAAGGCCGGGUCGCCAAGUUCGUCCAGCGGAAAAAGGCCACAAAAACGGGUGGGCUAUAGCCUUGGGGGGUGGGGCAGGCCAACUUCGUCCGCCGGACUCAGAAUGGCGCAAGACUUUGCGAGGGGCCUCCAUGUGCCAAAAAUAGGCCGCAGUAAAUGCCGCGCCCAAAAAUAACCGCCCGAAGGCCGUGGCGCCAAGUUCGUCCAGCGGAAAAAGGCCACAAAAACGGGUGGGCUAUAGCCUUGGGGGGUGGGGCUGCCCAACUUCGUCCUCCGGACUCGGAUUGCCGUGAGACUUUGCGAGGGGCUUCCGUGUACCAAAAAUAGGCCGCGGGCAAAGCCGCGCCCAAAAAUAACCGCCCGAAGGCCGGGGUUUCAAGUUCGUCCAGUGGAAAAAGGCCACAAAAACGGGUGGGCUAUAGCUUUGGUGGGUGGGGCUGGCCAACAUCGUCCAUUGGACUCGGAAUGCCGCGAGACUUUGCGAGGGGCCUUCUUGGGCCAAAAAUAGGUCGCGGGCAAAGCUACGCCCAAAAAUAACCACCCGAAGGCCGGGGCGCCAAGUUCGUCCAGCGGAAAAAGGCCACAAAAACGGGUGGGCUAUAGCCUUGGGGGGUGGGGCUGGCCAACUUCGUCCGCCGGACUCGGAAUGCCGCGAGACUUUGCAAGGGGCCUCCGUGUGCCAAAAAUAAGCCGCGGGUAAAGCCGCACCCAAAUAUAACCUCCCGAAGGCCGGGGCGCCAAGUUCGUCCAGCGGAAAAAGGCCACAAAAAUGGGUGGGCUAUAGCCUUGGGGGGUGGGGCUGGCCACCUUCGUCCGCCGGACUCGGAAUGCCGCGAGACUUUUCGAGGGGCCUCCGUGUGCCAAAAUUGGCCGCGGGCAAAGCCGCGUCCAAAAAUAACCGCCCGAAGGCCGGGGCGCCAAGUUCGUCCAGCGGAAAAAGGCCACAAAAAUGGGUGGGCUAUAGCCUUGGGGGGUGGGGCUGGCCACCUUCGUCCGCCGGACUCGGAAUGCCGUGAGACUAUGCGAGGGGCCUCCGUGUGCCAAAAAUAGGCCUCGUUCAAAGCCGCGCCCAAAAAUAACCGCCCGAAGGCCGGGGCGCCAAGUUCGUCCAGCGGAAAAAGGCCACAAAAACGGGUGGGCUAUAGCUUUGGGGGGUGGGGCUGGCCAACUUCAUCCAUCGGACUCGGAAUGCCGCGAGACUUCGCGAGGGGCCUCCGUGUGCCAAAAAUAGGCCGCGGGCAAAGCCACCCCCAAAAAUAACUGCCCGAAGGCCGGGGCGCCAAGUUCGUCCAGCGGAAAAAGGCCACAAAAACGGGUGGGCUAUAGCCUUGGGGGGUGGGGCUGGCCAACUUCGUCCGCCGGACUCGGAAUGCCGCGAGACUUUGCAAGGGGCCUCCGUGUCGCAAAAGUAGGCCGCGGGCAAAGCCGCGCCCAAAAUUAACUGCCCGAAGACCGGGGCGCCAAGUUCGUCCAGCGGAAAAAGGCCACAAAAACGGGUGGGCUAUAGCCUUGCGGGGUGGGGCUGCCCAACUUCGUCCGCCGGAUUCGGAAUGCCGCGAGACUUUGCGAGGGGCCUCCGUGUGCCAAAAAUAGACCACAGGCAAAGCCGCGCCCAAAAAUAAUCGCCCGAUGGCCGGGGCGCCAAUUAGUCCAGCGGAAAAAGGCCACAAAAACGGGUGGGCUAUAGCCUUGGGGGGUGGGGCUGGCCCACUUCGUCCGCCGGACUCGGAAUGCCGCAAGACUUUGCGAGGGGCCUCCGUGUGCCAAAAAUAGGCCGCGGGCAAAGCCGCACCCAAAAUUAACCGCCCGAAGGCCAGGGCGCCAAGUUCGUCCAGCGGAAAAAUGCCACAAAAACGGGUGGGCUAUAUCCUUGGGGGGUGAUGCUGGCCAACUUUGUCCGCUGGACUCGGAAUGCCGCGAGACUUUGCGAGGGGCCUCCAUGUGCCAAAAAUAGGCCGCGGACAAAGCCGCGCCCAAAAUUAACCGCCCGAAGGCCGGGGCGCCAAGUUCGUCCAGCGGAAAAAGGCCACAAAAACGGGUGGGCUAUAGGCUUGGGGGGUGGGGCUGGCCGAUUUCGUCCGCCGGACUCGGAAUGCCGCGAGACUUUGCGAGGGGCCUCCGUGUGCAAAAAAUAGGCCGCAGGCAAAGCCGCGCCCAAAAAUAACCGCCCGACAGCCGGGGCGCCAAGUUCGUCCUCCGGAAUAAGUCCAUAAAAACGGGUGGGCUAUAGCCUUGGGGGGUGGGGCUGGCCAACUUCGUCUGCCGGACUCGGAAUGCCGCGAGACUUUGCGAGGGGUCUCCAUGUGCAAAAAAUAGGCCGCGGGCAAAGCCGAGCCAAAAAUUAACCACCCGAAGGCCGGGGCGCCAAGUUCUCCCAGCGGAAAAAGGCCACAAAAACGGGUGGGCUAUAGCCUUGGGGGGUGGGGCUGGCCAACUUCGUCAGCCGGACUCGGAAUGCCACGAGACUUUGCGAGGGGCCUCCGUGUGCCAAAAAUAGGCCGUGGGCAAAGCCGCGCCCAAAAAUAACCGCCCGACGGCCGGAGCGCCCAGUUCGUCCAGCGGAAAAAGGCCACAAAAACGGGUGGGCUAUAGCCUUGGGGGGUGGGGCUGGCCAACUUCGUCCGCCGGACUCGGAAUGCCGCGAGACUUUGCGAGGGGCCUCCGUGUGCCAAAAAUAGGCCGUGGGGAUGUUUAAAAAGGUUCGUGGUUCAAAAUUUUAUGUUAUCUAGUGAUAAAAUUUUGUAGUGCAUUUUAUAGAUAGGUAGCAGCAGCAAGUUCCGGGGCGCCAAGUUCGUCCAGCGGAAAAACGCCAAAAAAAUGGGUGGGGUAUAGCCUUGGAGGUGAUGCUGGCCCACUUCGUCCGCCGGACUCGGAAUGCCGCGAGACUUUGCGAGGGGCCCCCGUGUGCCAAAAAUAGGCCGCGGGCAAAGCCGCGCCCAAAAUUAACCGCCCGAAGGCCGGGGCGCCAAGUUCAUCCAGCGGAAAAAGGCCACAAAAACGGGUGGGCUAUAGCCUUGGGGGGUGGGGCUGGCCAACUUCGUCCGCCGGACUCGGAAUGCCUCGAGACUUUGCGAGGGGCCUCCGUGUGCCAAAAAUAGGCCGCGGGAAAAGCCACGCCCAAAAAUAACCGCCCGACGGCCGGGGCGCCAAGUUCGUCCAGCGGUAAAAGGCCACAAAAACGGUUGGGCUAUAGCCUUGGGGGGUGGGGCUGGCCGACUUCGUCCGCCAGACUCGGAAUGCCGCGAGACUUUGCGAGGGGCCUCUGUGUGCCAAAAAUAGGCCGCGGACAAAGUAGCGACCAAAAAUAACUGCCCGAAGGCCGGGGCGCCAUGUUCGUCCAGCGGAAAAAGGCCACAAAAACGGGUGGGCUAUAGUCUUGGGGGGUGGGCCUGGCCAACUUCGUCCGCCGGACUCGGAAUGCCGCGAGACUUUGCGAGGGGGCUCCAUGUGCAAAAAAUAGGCCGAGGGCAAAGCCGCGCCCAAAAUUGACCGCCCGAAGGCCGGGGCGCCAAGUUCAUCCAGCGGAAAAACACCACAAAAACGGGUGGGCUAUAGCCUUGGGGGGUGGGGCUGGCCAACUUCGUCCGCCGGACUCGGAAUGCCUCGAGACUUUGCGAGGGGCCUACGUGUGCCAAAAAUAGGCCGCAGGAAAAGUCACGCUCAAAAAUAACCACCCGACGGCCGGGGCGCCAAGUUCGUCCAGCGGAAAAAGGCCCCAAAAACGGGUGGGCUAUAGCCUUGGGGUGUGGGGCUGGCCAACUUCGUCCGCCGGACUCGGAAUGCCGCGAGACUUUGCAAGGGGCCUCCAUGUGCCAAAAAUAGGCCGCGGCCAAAGCCGCACCAAAAAUUAACCGCCCGAAGGCCGGGGCGCGUAGUUCAUCCGCCGGAAAAAGGCCACAAAAACGGGUGGGCUAUAGCCUUGGGGGGUGGGGCUGGCCAACUUCGUCCGCCGGACUCGGAAUGCCGUGAGACUUUGCGAGGGGCCUCCGUGUGCCAAAAAUAGGCCGCUGGCAAAGCCGUGCCCAAAAUUAACCGCCCGAAGGCCGGGGCGCCAAGUUCGUCCACCGGAAAAAGGCCACAAAAACGGGUGGGCUAUAGCCUUGGGGGGUGGGGCUGGCCAACUUCGUCCGCCGGACUCGGAAUGCCUCGAAACUUUGUGAGGGUCCUCUGUGAGCCAAAAAUAGGCCGCGGGAAAAGCCAUACCCAAAAAUAACCGCACGACGGCCGGGGCGCCAAGUUCGUCCCACGGAAAAAGGCCACAAAAACGGGUGGGCUAUAGCCUUGGGGGGUGGGGCUGGCCAACUUCGUCCGCCGGACUCGGAAUGCCGCGAGACUUUGCGAGGGGCCUCCAUGUGCCAAAAAUAGGCCGCGGGCAAAGCCGCGCCCAAAAUUAACCGCCCGAAGGCCGGGGCGCCAAGUUCAUCCACCGGAAAAAGGCCACAAAAACGGGUGGGCUAUAGCCUUGGGGGGUGGGGCUGGCCAACUUCGUCCGCCGGACUCGGAAUGCCUCGAGACGUUGCGAGGGUCCUCCGUGUGCCAAAAAUAGGCCGCGGGAAAAGCCACACCCAAAAAUAACCGCCCGACGGCCGGGGCGCCAAGUUCGUCCCGCGGAAAAAGGCCACAAAAACGGGUGGGCUAUAGCCUUGGGGGGUGGGGCUGGCCAACUUCGUCCGCCGGACUCGGAAUGCCGCGAGACUUUGCGAGGGGCCUCCAUGUGCCAAAAAUAGGCCGCGGGCAAAGCCGCGCCCAAAAUUAACAGCCCGAAGGCUGGGGCGCCUAGUUCAUCCACCGGAAAAAGGCCACAAAAACGGGUGGGCUAUAGCCUUGGGGGGUGGGGCUGGCCAACUUCGUCCGCCGGACUCGGAAUGCCGUGAGACUUUGUGAGGGGCCUCCGUGUACCAAAAAUAGGCCGCGGGCAAAGCCGCGCCCAAAAUUAACCGCCAGAAGACCGGGGCGCCAAGUUCGUCCACCGGAAAAAGGCCACAAAAACGGGUGGGCUAUAGCCUUCGGGGGUGGGGCUGGCCAACUUCGUCCGCCGGACUCGGAAUGCCGCGAGAUUUUGCGAGGGGCCUCCGUGUGCAAAAACUAGGCCGCGGGCAAAGCCUCGCCCAAAAAUAACCGCCCGAAGGCCGGGGCGCCAAGUUCAUCAAGCGGAAAAAGGCCACAAAAACGGGUGGGCUAUAGCCUUGGGGGGUGGGGCUGGCCAACUUCGUCCGCCGGACUCGGAAUGCCGUGAGACUUUGCGAGGGGCCUCCGUGUACCAAAAAUAGGCCGCGGGAAAAGCCGCGCCCAAAAAUAACCGCCCGACGGCCGGGGCGCCAAGUUCCUCCAGCGGAAAAAUGCCACAAAAAUGGGUGGGCUAUAGCCUUCGGGGGUGGGGCUGGCCAACUUCGUCCGCCGGACUCGGAAUGCCGCGAGACUUUGCGAGGGGCCUCCGUGUGCCAAAAAUAGGCCGCGGGAAAAGCCGUACCCAAAAAUAACCGCCCGACGGCCAGGGCGCCAAGUUCGUCCAGCAGAAAAAGGCCACAAAAACGGGUGGGCUAUAGCCUUGGGGGGUGGGGCUGGCCAACUUCGUCCGCCGGACUCGGAAUGCCGCGAGACUUUGCGAGGGGCCUCCGUGUGCCAAAAAUAGGCCGCGGGAAAAGCCGCGCCCAAAAAUAACCGCCCGAAGGCCGGGGCGCCUAGUUCAUCCACCGGAAAAAGGCCACAAAAACAGGUGGGCUAUAGCCUUGGGGGGUGGGGCUGGGCAACUUCGUCCGCCGGACUCGGAAUGCCUUGAGACUUUGCGAGGGGCCUCCGUGUGCCAAAAAUAGGCUACGGGCAAAGCCGCACCCAAAAUUAACCGCCCGAAGGCCGGGGCGCCAAGUUCAUCCACCGGAAAAAGAACACAAAAACGGGUGGGCUAUAGCCUUGGGGGGUGGGGCUGGCCAACUUCGUCCGCCGGACUCGGAAUGCCGCGAGAUUUUGGGAGGGGCCUCUCUGUGCCAAAAAUAGGCCGCGGACAAAGCCGCGCCCAAAAUUAACCGCCCGAAGGCCGGGGCGCCAACUUCGUCCUGCGGAAAAAGGCCACAAAAACGGGUGGGCAAUAGCCUUGGGGGGUGAUGCUGGCCAACUUCGUCCGCCGGACUGGGAAUGCCGCGAGACUUUGCGAGGGGCCUCCGUGUGCCAAAAAUAGGCCACGGGAAAAGCCGCGCCCAAAAAUAACUGCCCGACGGCCGGGGCGCCAAGUUCGUCCAGCGGAAAAAGGCCACAAAAACGGGUGGGCUAUAGCCUUGGGGUGUGGGGCUGGCCAACUUCGUCCGCCGGACUCGGAAUGCCGCGAGACUUUGCGAGGGGCCCCUGUGUGCCAAAAAUAGGGCACGGACAAAGCCGCGCCCAAUUUUAACCGCCCGAAGGCCGGGGCGCCAAGUUCGUCCAGCGGUAAAAGGCCACAAAAACGGUUGGGCUAUAGCCUUGGGGGGUGGGGCUGGCCACCUUCGUCCGCCAGACUUUGGGAGGGGCCUCCGUGUGCCAAAAAUAGGCCGCGGGCAAAGCCGCGCCCAAAAUUAACCGCCCGAAGGCCGGGGCGCCAAGUUCGUCCNNNNNNNNNNNNNNNNNNNNNNNNNNNNNNNNNNNNNNNNNNNNNNNNNNNNNNNNNNNNNNNNNNNNNNNNNNNNNNNNNNNNNNNNNNNNNNNNNNNNGAAAAAGGCCACAAAAACGGGUGGGCUUUAGCCUUGGGGGGUGGGGCUGGCCAACUUCGUCCGCCGGACUCGGAAUGCCGCGAGACUUUGCGAGGGGCCUCCGUGUACCAAAACUAGGCCGCGGGCAAAGCCGCGCCCAAAAAUAACCGCCCGAAGGCCGAGGCGCCAUGUUCGUCCAGCGGAAAAAGGCCACAAAAACGGGUGGGCUAUAGCCUUGGGGGGUGGGGCUGGCCAACUUCGUCCGCCGGACUCGGAAUGCCGCGAGACUUUGCGAGGGGCCUCCGUGUACCAAAAAUAGGCCGCGGGCAAAUCUGCGCCCAAAAAUAACCACCCGAAGGCCGGGGCGCCAUGUUCGUCCAGCGGAAAAAGGCCACAAAAACGGGUGGGCUAUAGCCUUGGGGGGUGGGGCUGGCCAACUUCGUCCGCCGGACUCGGAAUGCCGCUAGACUUUGCGAGGGGCCUCUGUGAGCGAAAAAUAGGCCGCGGGCAAAGCCGCGCCCAAAAAUAACCGCCCGAAGGCCAGGGCGCCAAGUUCGUCCAUCGGAAAAAGGCCACAAAAACGGGUGGGCUAUAGCCUUCGGAGGUGGGGCUGGCCGACUUCGUCCGCCGAGCUCGGAAUGGCGCGAGGCUUUACGAGCGGCCUCCGUGUGCCAAAAAUAGGCUGCGGGAAAAGCAGCGCCCAAAAAUAACCGCCCGACGGCCGGGGCGCCAAGUUCGUCCAGCGGAAAAAGGCCACAAAAACGGGUGGGCUAUAGCCUUGGGGGGUGGGGCUGGCCAACUUCGUCCGCCGGACUCGGAAUGCCGCGAGACUUUGUGAGGGGCCUCUGUGAGCGAAAAAUAGGCUGCGGGCAAAGCCGCGCCCAAAAAUAACCGCCCGAAGGCCAGGGCGCCAAAUUCGUCCAGCGGAAAAAGGCCACAAAAACGGGUGGGCUAUAGCCUUGGGGGGUGGGGCUGGCCGACUUCGUCCGCCGGGCUCGGAAUGGCGCGAGACUUUGCGAGGGGCCUCCGUGUGCCAAAAAUAGGCCGUGGGAUGUUUAAAAGGUUCGUGGUUCAAAAUUUUAUGUUAUCUAGUGAUAAAAUUUUGUAGUGCAUCUUAUAGAUAGGUAGCAUCAGCAAGUUCUGGAGCGCCAAGGUCGUCCAGCGGAAAAAGGCCACAAAAACGGGUGGGCUAUAGCCUUGGGGGGUGAUGCUGGCCAACUUCGUCCGCCGGACUCGGAAUGCCGCGAGACUUUGCGAGGGGCCUCCGUGUGCCAAAAAUAGGCCGCGGCCAAAGACGCGCCCAAAAAUAACCGCCCGAAGGCCGGGGCGCCAAGUUCGUCCAGCGGAAAAAGGCCACAAAAACGGGUGGGCUAUAGCCUUGGGGGGUGGGGCUGGCCCACUUCGUCCGCCAGACUCGGAAUGCCGCGAGGGUUUGCAAGGGGCCUCGGUGUGCGAAAAAUAGGCCGCAGGCAAAGCCGCACCAUAAAAUAACCCCCCCAAGGCCGGGGCGCCAAGUUCGUCCAGCGGAAAAAGGCCACAAAAACGGGUGGGCUAUAGCCUUGGGGGGUGGGGCUGGCCAACUUCGUCCGCCGGAUUUGGAAUGCCGCGAUACUUUGCGAGGGGCCUCCGUGUACCACAAAUAGGCCGCGGGCAAAGCCGCGGCAAAAAUUAACCGCCCGAAGGCCGGGGCGCCAAGUUCGUCCAGCGGAAAAAGGCCACAAACACGGGUGGGCUAUAGCCUUGGGGGGUGAUUCUGGCCAACUUCGUCCGCCGGACUCGGAACGCCACGAGACUUUGUGAGGGGCCUCCGUGUCCCAAAAAUAGGCCACGGCCAAAGCCGCGCCCAAAAAUAACUGCCCCAAGGCCGGGGCGCCAAGUUCGUCCAGCGGAAAAAGGCCACAAAAACGGGUGGGCUAUAGCAUCAGGGGGUGGGGCUGGCCAACUUCUUCCGCCGGACUCGGAAUGCCCCGAUACUUUACGAGGGGCCUCCGUGUGCCAAAAAUAGGCCGCGGGCAAAGCCGCGCCAAAAAAUAACCGCCCGAAGGCCGGGGCACCAAGUUCGUCCAGCGGAAAAAGGCCACAAAAACGGGUGGGCGAUAGCCUUGGGGGGUGGGGCUGGCCAUCUUCGUCCGCCGGACUCGGAAUGCCGCGAGACUUUGGAAGGGGCCUCCGUGUGCCAAAAAUAGGCCGCGGGCAAAGCCGCGCCCAAAAUUAACCGCCCGAAGGCCGGGGCGCCAAGUUCGUCCAGCGGAAAAAGNNNNNNNNNNNNNNNNNNNNNNNNNNNNNNNNNNNNNNNNNNNNNNNNNNNNNNNNNNNNNNNNNNNNNNNNNNNNNNNNNNNNNNNNNNNNNNNNNNNNNNNNNNNNNNNNNNNNNNNNNNNNNNNNNNNNNNNNNNNNNNNNNNNNNNNNNNNNNNNNNNNNNNNNNNNNNNNNNNNNNNNNNNNNNNNNNNNNNNNNNNNNNNNNNNNNNNNNNNNNNNNNNNNNNNNNNNNNNNNNNNNNNNNNNNNNNNNNNNNNNNNNNNNNNNNNNNNNNNNNNNNNNAAAUAGGCCGCGGGCAAAGCCGCGCCAAAAAAUAACCGCCCGAAGGCCGGGGCACCAAGUUCGUCCAGCGGAAAAAGGCCACAAAAACGGGUGGGCGAUAGCCUUGGGGGGUGGGGCUGGCCAUCUUCGUCCGCCGGACUCGGAAUGCCGCGAGACUUUGGAAGGGGCCUCCGUGUGCCAAAAAUAGGCCGCGGGCAAAGCCGCGCCCAAAAUUAACCGCCCGAAGGCCGGGGCGCCAAGUUCGUCCAGCGGAAAAAGGCCACAAAAACGGGUGGGCUAUAGCCUCAGGGGGUGGGGCUGGCCAACUUUAUCCGACGGACUCGGAAUGCCCCUAUACUUUGCGAGGGGCCUCCGUGUACCAAAAAUAGGCCGCGGGGAAAGCCGCGCCAAAAAAUAACCGCCCGAAGGCCGGGGCGCCAAGUUCGUCCAGCGGAAAAAGGCCACAAAAACGGGUGGGCUAUAGCCUUGGGGGGUGGGGCUGGCCAACUUCGUCCGCCGGACUCGGAAUGCCGCGAGACUUUGUGAGGGGCGUCCGUGUGCCAAAUAUAGGCCGCGGGCAAAGCCGCGCCCAAAAAUAACCGCCCGAAGGCCGGGGCGCCAAGUUCGUCCAGCGGAAAAAGGCCACAAAAACGGGUGGGCUAUAGCCUUGGGGGGUGGGGCUGGCCAACUUCGUCAGCCGGACUCGGAAUGCCACGAGACUUUGCGAGGGGCCACCGUGUGCCAAAAAUAGGUCGCGGGCAAAGCCGCGUCCAAAAAUAACCGCCCGAAGGCCGGGGCGCCAAGUUCGUCCAGCGGAAAAAGGCCACAAAAACGGGUGGGCUAUAGCCUUGGGGGGUGGGGCUGGCCAACUUCGUCCGCCGGACUCGGAAAGCCGCGAGACUUUGCGAGGGGCCUCUGUGUGCCAAAAAUAGGCCGCGGGCAAAGCCGCGCCCAAAAAUAACCGCCCGAAGGCCGGGGCGCCAAGUUCGUCCAGCGGAAAAAGGCCACAAAAACGGGUGAGCUUUAGCCUUGGGGGGUGGGGCUGGCCCACUUCGUCCGCCGGACUCGGAAUGCCGUGAGACUUUGCGAGGGGCCUCCGUGUGCCAAAAUAGGCCGCAGGCAAAGCCGCGCCCAAAAUUAACCUCCCGAAGGCCGGGGCGCCAAGUUCGUCCAGCGGAAAAAGGCCACAAAAACGGGUGGGCUAUAGCCUUGGGGGGUGGGGCUGGCCAACUUCGUCCGCCAGACUUGGAAUGGCGCGAGACUUUCCAAGGGGCCUCCGUGUGCCAAAAAUAGGCCG
rnacentral:lncRNA from 1 species